ACGCGAAAGUCCCGCAAGAGAUUAGUAGAGUGGCAAACGGGUGAGUAACACGUGGGUGACCUGCCUUCGAGUGGGGGAUAACGUCCCGAAAGGGACGCUAAUACCGCAUAACAUCCUGCUUUUUAAGAGGUGGAGAUCAAAGCCGGGGAUCGCAAGACCUGGCGCUUGAAGAGGGGCCCGCGCCCGAUUAGCUAGUUGGUGGGGUAAUGGCUCACCAAGGCAUCGAUCGGUAUCCGGCCUGAGAGGGCGGACGGACACACUGGGACUGAGACACGGCCCAGACUCCUACGGGAGGCAGCAGUGGGGAAUUGUUCGCAAUGGGCGCAAGCCUCGACGACGCAACGCCGCGUGGAGGAUGAAGAUCUUCGGGUCGUAAACUCCUUUCGAUCGAGACGAAUGGCCUCCGGGUAAAUAGCCUGGAGGAGUGACGGUACCGAGAGAAGAAGCCCCGGCUAACUCCGUGCCAGCAGCCGCGGUAAUACGGGGGGGGCAAGCGUUGUUCGGAAUUACUGGGCGUAAAGGGCUCGUAGGUGGUCAACUAAGUCGGACGUGAAAUCCCUCGGCUUAACCGGGGAACUGCGUCCGAUACUGGAUGACUUGAGUUCGGGAGAGGGAUGCGGAAUUCCAGGUGU
rnacentral:rRNA from 1 species